UAGUUCAAGAAACAUUAUCCAAGAACAGUCUCUACAAUGUUCUCCCAAGUUUUAAAUGCUUUGGCUUUUGCCGCCCUUUUAGGAUUGUUUUGUGAUUCAUUUCGAGCAUAUAUAUAUUUGAGGGCUAGAGUCCCCAAAUCAGUUCAAGUGCUUUAGCAGACUACAAGUCUUUAUAAUGCUCUCCCAAGUUUUGAAUGCUUUGGCUUUUGCCGCCCUUUUGGGAUUGGCUUUAGGUAAGAAGAUGAUCCUUUAUAUCAAUCUCAGUAUAUUAAACACAAGUUUAAAUUAUACUUGAGGGCUGUUAUUUUCAUGAUGUGUUUGAAGAAAUGAAUUCUAAUUAUGAUGAUAUAAAUUUCUUUGCAAAUAGUAUUUGAAUCAAUGUUUUAUCCCAUUUUUUAUAUGCAUAAUUAUCC